rnacentral:rRNA from 1 species
GAGCGAACGCUGGCGGCGUACUUAACACAUGCAAGUCGAACGGGGAUCAUUGUGUGAGCAAUCAUGUGAUGGUCCUAGUGGCGCACGGGUGAGUAACACGUGGGUAACCUGCCCUCGAGACCGGGAUACCCCUUCGAAAGGGGGGCUAAUACCGGAUACGUUCCUUAGGUCGAGAGAUUUGAGGAAGAAAGGUGGCGCAAGCUGCCGCUCUUGGAGGGGCUCGCGGCCUAUCAGCUAGUUGGUGGGGUAACGGCCCACCAAGGCUAUGACGGGUAGCUGGUCUGAGAGGACGACCAGCCACACGGGGACUGAGACACGGCCCCGACUCCUACGGGAGGCAGCAGUGGGGAAUUUUCCGCAAUGGGCGAAAGCCUGACGGAGUGACGCCGCGUGUGGGAUGAAGGCCUUCGGGUCGUAAACCACUGUCAGUGGGAAAGAUGGGUGUCGGCGCGAUAACCGCCGGCAUCUGACGGUACCUGCAGAGGAAGCCCCGGCUAACUCUGUGCCAGCAGCCGCGGUAAGACAGAGGGGGCAAGCGUUGCUCGGAAUUACUGGGCGUAAAGGGCGCGUAGGCGGGAUGGCAAGUCGGUCGUGAAAUCCCUCGGCUCAACCGAGGAGCGUCGAUCGAAACUGCCGUUCUUGAGGGUUGCAGAGGAGACUGGAAUUCCCGGUGUAGCGGUGAAAUGUGUAGAGAUCGGGAGGAACACCGGUGGCGAAGGCGGGUCUCUGGGCAACUCCUGACGCUGAGGCGCGAAAGCGUGGGGAGCAAACGGGAUUAGAUACCCCGGUAGUCCACGCUGUAAACGAUGACGACUAGGUGUGGGGGGGUUCAGUCCCCUCCGUGCCGCAGCUAACGCAUUAAGUCGUCCGCCUGGG